CCCAAGGAUAGGGCCGCACCCGAUCAGGUCGCUGGUGAGGUAAUGGCUCACCAGGCCUAUAACCGGUACGGGCCGUGAGAGCGGGAGCCCGGAGAUGGGCACUGAGAUAAGGGCCCAGGCCCUACGGGGCGCAGCAGGCGCGAAAACUCCGCAAUGCGCGAAAGCGCGACGGGGUCACCCCGAGUGCCGUCCGCUGAGGGCGGCUUUUGCCUGGUUUAACCAGCCGAGUGAAUAAGGGGAGGGCAAGUCUGGUGUCAGCCGCCGCGGUAAUACCAGCUCCUCGAGUGGUUGGGACGAUUAUUGGGUCUAAAGCGUCCGUAGCCGGCCGGAAAAGUUCUCCGUUAAAUCCAACGAUCCAAUCGUUGGGCCGCGGGGAAUACUCUCCGGCUUGGGGGCGAGGGAGGUCGGCGGUAGUCUCGGGGUAGGGGCGAAAUCCUAUAAUCCCGAGAGGACCACCAGUGGCGAAGGCGGCCGACUAAAGCGCGCCCGACGGUGAGGGACGAAAGCUGGGGGAGCGAACGGGAUUAGAUACCCCGGUAGUCCCAGCUGUAAACGAU
rnacentral:rRNA from 1 species